rnacentral:rRNA from 1 species
CCUGACUGUGCAAAGGUAGCAUAAUAACUUGUCUUUUAAUUGGAGGAUGGAAUGAAUGACUUGACGAAGAUAUAGCUGUCUUAUAAAUAUUUAUUAAAACUUAAUUUUUAAGUUAAAAAGCUUAAAUAAAAUUAAGGGACGAGAAGACCCUGUUAAGCUUAAAAAAUUUUAUCGAUUUAUAGUUAUAUAAAAAUAUGAUAUCAAUAAAGAAAUUUUAGUUGGGGCGACUUGGGAGUAAAAUAAACCUCCUUGAGUUUGAUAAAAUUUAAUAUUAGGUCCAAUACGUUUGAGCUAAGAACAAGCUACUACAGGGAUAACAGCGUAAUUUUAAUUGAGAGUUCUAAUCGAAAAUAAAGUUUGCGACCUCGAUGUUGGAUUAGGGAAUAGUAAAGGUUGCAAAAGCUUUUAUAAAUAGUCUGUUCGACUAGUAAUAUCCUACAUGAUCUGAGUUCAAACCGGA